AUUUAUGGUGCUGAAAACAAGAACCACAGGAGCAUUACUGACAGUGGUGGAACCAGCUCUAUCUGAGCUCUGAAACUGUCUUUAUGAGAUGAAUUAUUCUCUAUUCAUCUCAGUCUGAAGGAUUAUUUUUCUCUCUUUAGUUCUGGCUGCAGUUCUGAGCUCCAGUAUGAACCAAGUCCUCCCAGCUGGUCUGACUGUGAGUCCCAGCAGAUCUCAGUUCUUUAAAGAAGACUCUGGUCUCUGAGCUGUGAGGAGGACAACAUCUCUGCUGGAUGGACUGUGAGGAGAAACACAACCAGAAGAACCAGAACUCAGUGUGGAGAUGGAUGGGGAGAACCAGCUGGUUCUACCUGUACCAUCAGCAGCUUGUACCCAUUAGACACUGGAGUGUAUGGUGUGAGUCCAGAGAGGGAGCAGCCAGCAGCAGCAUCCAGCUCACUGUCUCUGGUGGAUCAGUGAUCCUGCAGAGUCCUGUCCUCCCUGUGAUGGAGGGAGAUGACGUCACUCUGAGCUGUCAAACAAAGACUUCCUCCAACCUCCCAGCUGCUUUCAUUAAAGAUGGCGUCUUCAUCAGGACUGAGCCUGCAGGUCACAUGACCCUCCACCAUGUGACCAGCUCUGAUGAAGGUCUC